GACGAACCGUGCGAACGUUAUUCGGAAUCAUUGGGCGUAAAGCGCACGUAGGCGGCCUGUUAAGUCGGGUGUGAAAGCCCUGGGCUCAACCCAGGAAGUGCACUCGAAACUGGCGGGCUUGAAUAUGGAAGAGGGUCGCGGAAUUCCCGGUGAUAGAGGUGAAAUUCGUAGAUAUCGGGAGGAACACCAGUGGCGAAGGCGGCGACCUGGGCCAAUAUUGACGCUGAGGUGACGAAAGCGUGGGGAGCAAACAGG
rnacentral:rRNA from 1 species